UAGGGAAUCUUCGGCAAUGGACGAAAGUCUGACCGAGCAACGCCGCGUGAGUGAAGAAGGUUUUCGGAUCGUAAAACUCUGUUGUUAGAGAAGAACAAGGACGUUAGUAACUGAACGUCCCCUGACGGUAUCUAACCAGAAAGCCACGGCUAACUACGUGCCAGCAGCCGCGGUAAUACGUAGGUGGCAAGCGUUGUCCGGAUUUAUUUGGCGUAAAGCGAGCGCAGGCGGUUUCUUAAGUCUGAUGUGAAAGCCCCCGGCUCAACCGGGGAGGGUCAUUGGAAACUGGGAGACUUGAGUGCAGAAGAGGAGAGUGGAAUUCCAUGUGUAGCGGUGAAAUGCGUAGAUAUAUGGAGGAACACCAGUGGCGAAGGCGGCUCUCUGGUCUGUAACUGACGCUGAGGCUCGAAAGCGUGGGGAGCAAACAGG
rnacentral:rRNA from 2 species